AUUGAACGCUGGCGGCAUGCCUUACACAUGCAAGUCGAACGGUAACAGGUCUUCGGAUGCUGACGAGUGGCGAACGGGUGAGUAAUGCAUCGGAACGUGCCCAGUAGUGGGGGAUAGCCCGGCGAAAGCCGGAUUAAUACCGCGUACGACCUGAGGGUGAAAGGGGGGGAUCGCAAGACCUCUCGCUAUUGGAGCGGCCGAUGUCAGAUUAGCUAGUUGGUGGGGUAAAGGCCUACCAAGGCAACGAUCUGUAGUUGGUCUGAGAGGGCGACCAGCCACACUGGGACUGAGACACGGCCCAGACUCCUACGGGAGGCAGCAGUGGGGAAUUUUGGACAAUGGGCGCAAGCCUGAUCCAGCAAUGCCGCGUGCAGGAAGAAGGCCUUCGGGUUGUAAACUGCUUUUGUCAGGGAAGAAAUCUUCUGGGUUAAUACCUCGGGAGGAUGACGGUACCUGAAGAAUAAGCACCGGCUAACUACGUGCCAGCCGCCGCGGUAAAAC
rnacentral:rRNA from 1 species